UGCCAGCAGCCGCGGUAAUACGAGUGCCCCAAGCGUUACCCGGAUUCACUGGGCGUAAAGGGUACGUAGGCGGCAUAGUUAGUCGAUUGUUAAAGCACCGGGCUCAACCCGGGACAGGCAAUCGAAACGGCUAAGCUAGAGGAUGUGAGAGGUAAGUGGAACUCAUGGUGUAGGGGUGAAAUCCGUUGAUAUCAUGGGGAACACCAAAAGCGAAGGCAACUUACUGGCACAUUCCUGACGCUGAGGUACGAAAGCGUGGGUAGCGAAUGGGAUUAGAUA
rnacentral:rRNA from 1 species